GACGAACGCUGGCGGCGUGCUUAACACAUGCCAGUCGAACGGAAAGGCCCUGCGUUUGGGGGGUGCUCGAGUGGCGAACGGGUGAGUAACACGUGAGUAACCUGCCCUUGACUUUGGGGUAACUUCAGGAAACUGGGGCUAAUACCGGAUAGGAGCUCCUGCUGCAUGGUGGGGGUUGGAAAGUUUCGGCGGUUGGGGAUGGACUCGCGGCUUAUCAGCUUGUUGGUGGGGUAGUGGCUUACCAAGGCUUUGACGGGUAGCCGGCCUGAGAGGGUGACCGGCCACGUUGGGACUGAGAUACGGCCCAGACUCCUACGGGAGGCAGCAGUGGGGAAUAUUGCACAAUGGGCGGAAGCCUGAUGCAGCAACGCCGCGUGCGGGAUGACGGCCUUCGGGUUGUAAACCGCUUUCGCCUGUGACGAAGCGUGAGUGACGGUAAUGUGUAAAGAAGCACCGGCUAACUACGUG
rnacentral:rRNA from 1 species